UACAGAGGUCUCAAGCGUUGUUCGGAUUCAUUGGGCGUAAAGGGUGCGUAGGUGGCGCGCUAAGUCAGGUGUGAAAUUUCGGAGCUUAACUCCGAAACUGCAUUUGAUACUGGCGUGCUUGAGGACUGGAGAGGAGACUGGAAUUCAUGGUGUAGCAGUGAAAUGCGUAGAGAUCAUGAGGAAGACCAGUGGCGAAGGCGGGUCUCUGGACAGUUCCUGACACUGAGGCACGAAGGCCAGGGGGCAAACGGG
rnacentral:rRNA from 1 species